rnacentral:rRNA from 1 species
AGAAUGAACGUUGGCGGUGUGCUUAACACAUGCAAGUCGAGCGAGAAAGUUCCUUCGGGGAUGAGUAGAGCGGCGAACGGGUGAGUAACGCGUGAGGAUCUUCCCUUCAGUGAAGGAUACCCUUGAGAAAUUAAGGUUAAUACUGCAUACGUCCCCUAUUAACAUAGGGGAGAAAGAUGGCCUCUUGCUGUCGCUGAAAGAUGAACUUGCGUUCUAUUAGCUAGUUGGUGGGGUAAAGGCUCACCAAGGCGAUGAUGGAUAGCCGGCCUGAGAGGGUGAUCGGCCACAUUGGAACUGAGAUACGGUCCAGACUCCUACGGGAGGCAGCAGUGAGGAAUAUUGCACAAUGGGCGAAAGCCUGAUGCAGCGACACCGCGUGAAGGAUGAAGGUCUUAGGAUUGUAAACUUCUGUUAAGUGGGAAAAAGACUUAGCCCCAAAUAAGGGCGAGGGAUGAUGGUACCACUAGAGAAGCACCGGCUAACUUCGUGCCAGCACGG